UACAGAGGUCUCAAGCGUUGUUCGGAUUCAUUGGGCGUAAAGGGUGCGUAGGUGGCGCGCUAAGUCAGGUGUGAAAUUUCGGAGCUUAACUCCGAAACUGCAUUUGAUACUGGCGUGCUUGAGGACUGGAGAGGAGACUGGAAUUCAUGGUGUAGCAGUGAAAUGCGUAGAGAUCAUGAGGAAGACCAGUGGCGAAGGCGGGUCUCCUGGACAGUUACUGACACUGAGGCACGAAGGCCAGGGGAGCAAACGGG
rnacentral:rRNA from 1 species